GCAGAAGAAGAAGCAAUUUAUUGCAAAGCGGUCUUUAGUAAGGAACUAUAGAAAUGAUUCCCGGAAGUAUAGACUUGCGAAUUGGUCUUUAGGAAGGCUUCUCAGAGAAGGAAGGAAGGCUGGAAGCACAAACAGACCAUAUGUGAGCACGCAACACACAGCGCUGACACGGAAUCUUGGAAUCCUACCCCUUGAAAAGGCUCUCUCGUCCCCCUUCAACAGUGAGGAGACCCAUGCCUGCAAAGGUCAGCAGCCACCCACUGGAACAUGGCCGGCUAGCCACGCUCAACACACCAAUUGUCGCUAAGGGAAAGGUGAAUGCUGAACUUCUGGAGACCACUGCAGAUGGGGGAACCCGGCUCUCCAAAAGGCUCUUCCGGUCCUAUCAACCGUCUGCCUCCUGUUUGUCUUGAAGCAAUGGCUUUUAUUAGUUUCCACCAUUGGAGUAUAAACUUCAUGAGAACAGGGUCCAUCAGGCUUGUGCUUGCUCUCUCUCUCUCUCUCCCUCCACUGUGUGUAUAUGUGUGCAUGUGUAUUGCACAUGCACGAGUGCACGUACAUGCUUGCCUGCACACACUUCAGUGUGCCCCGGUGAACAUGUGGAGAUCAGAGGACAGUCUCCCACCUUGUUUGAAGCAAGGUCUCUAGGUUUCGCUACUGAGCUGCAUACUUCAGGGUAGCUGGCUUUGAGCAUCCUGGUCAACCCCCUGUCUCUGCUUCCCAUCUCUCAGUACAAGUGCUGGGAUUACAUGUCCCACUUCUUGACAUGGAUUCCAGAUUACUGAACUUGUUCAGCAAGUACUUUUACCAGCUGAGUCUUCCCCUUGGCCCCUCAUAGAUUCUUUUUGUUUAUUUUUUUAUUUUCCACAUUUAUUAAUGUGGCAGGGGGUGGGCACAGCACAUGCCAUGGUGCACAUGUGGAAAUUGGUUGUAGGACUUGUAGGAGCUGGUUCUUUUCCCGUGUGAGGUCUGAGAACGGAACUCAGCUGGUCAGGUUUGGUGGCAAGUGUCUACUCACUGAGCCACCUUGCCUGGUAGAUUCUUACAUGUGUUCAUCACUGCUUGCUCAGUGCUUAUGGGAAUGGCAUACAAAACAUGCUCUUCGGGGUUGGGGAUUUAGCUCAGUGGUAGAGCGCUUGCCUAGCAAGCACAAGGCCCUGGGCUCGGUCCUCAGCUCAAAAAAACAAAAAACAAAAAACAUGCUCUUCAAACAUUUGUCGAUGGAAAGAGAAAAAUGGAGCCCAAACAGGCAUGGACCGCUGAUGCCUGGACCUCCCCAAGUCAAACAUUUGAGAGAUGAGUAAAGGACCAGAGUCCAGAGAAAGAGGGCCACUCGUUGUAGGGGCAGGGGCAGAUAAUGAGUCCCUAACUGCUUCUCUUGGAGCAGCUGGCUUUGUCCUCUAAUCAUGAGUUAGAGGUUAAACUCUGCUGUCUCAGAAGAAGGGGGUAAGAAAACUUUUAGGGUCCUGGAAAUUGAUACCAGGAUAGUGGGGUAUUGCUGUGACAGACCUGACCAUUGCUUGGGGGAGGUUGUGUGAGAGCUUUGGAACUUUGGGCUAGAAAAUCCAUUGAGUGUUGAGAGCUCAGUGACCUGUCUGUAGGAGCCUGGAAGAUAAGAAUGUUGAGAGCAGUGCAGACGAUGGAGGCCUGACUUGGGAAGUAUCAGAGAGAAGCAAAGACUCUACUGGACCAUUUGUGUGAAGCCUCUGAGGUGUCUGGUCAGCCGGGGCUGAAGAGUCAGCUUGACUGAGAAGAGACCACCAUCACUGAGGUGAAGUCUUCCGGAAAGUGUUUCCUCAGGGUCAGCACACAGACUGUGCUCCAGAGGCUACAAGGUUGUACUUCCUGCUGGCAGCCAAGUUUGGUAGUGUAAGAAUCGCCCAGGUAGUGCUGGGUUUUGAAGGCAUCAAACGGUGGUGGAGAGCAGCUGAGGCUUGGCACUGGGAGAGCCCAGGAGAGGCCAUUGGUGAAGGUGCAGCCUCGGGAGCAGUGGAAGCCCCAGGAUUGAAGGGGGUCAUGCAGAAAAUCUGAGGCUUUGCACCAUCAAGAGAGCCCCGCAGAGGCUACUGAUGAAAGUGCAGCCCAGCUGCAGCAGAAGACUCCAGCAUUUUGGAGAUGCCAGUACCAUGGAUGACCACCAAGAACAGCAGCAGCAGUGGUGUGGAGACGGCCAGGCCUAGAAGAUAAGCUGUGUGCGCUGCAGAGGGCAGAGCUGGAGAUGUGACCCAAGCCCCUUGGAGGAGCCCAGAAGACCAUGAGUGAAUCCCAGAUAUUGGACAUUGAAUUAUUUGCAGUUAGAGUGAGGUUUUUGCUUUGUUCAGAUUGUGACUGUGCCCUAGUUCUUCCCUCUUGAAGUGAGAAAAUAUUUAGCUUUUUUUUUCUCUUAUAGGAGCCCAGUGUUGAGAAACAUUGAAUUUUUAAAACAGAUUUUGGAUUUUAAAAGAGGCUCUGGAUUUUUACAGAGACUAAAUUUUUAAAGUGCUAGACUGUGGGACUUUUAAGUUUGUAAUAUGUUUUACACUUGCGAUAUUUAUUAAUCUGAGGUCUUGGGGAUGAACCAAAAAAAAAAAAAGGUUAUGUAAAAUUAGCCAGCACAAUUUUAUGUCAACUUGACACAGUUUAGUCAUCUGAAAGGAGGGAACCCAAUUGAGAGAAUGUCUCCAUAAGAUCCAACAUAGGCAAGCCUGUAAGGUACUUCGUUACUUAGUGAUUGAUGGGGGAGGACCCAGCCCAUUGGGGCUCUUGGACUGCUGGUCCUGGGUUCUGCCCUGCUUGAGUUCCUGUGCUGACUUCCUCUGAUGAUGAGCAGUGAUAGGGAAAUGUAAGCUGAAUUAACCCUUUCCUCCUCACAUUGCCAUGGUGUUUCUUCACAGCAAUAGUAACCCUGACUAAGCCAGGGCCUACUCAGUUAGGGAAGGAACGCCCUCCAUUCUGGUAGGCAAUCGACGGAACAAUGAAUUGAUGGUGAACUGAGGCAGCUGUUGCAGGGGACUAACACGGCUGCAGAGGCUUUGCACUAAUUAGGAAAGUGCCAAAUGGUCUUUAUUAACAGCAAAGAAUGCAUUUUUAAAGGAAAUGCACUAGUAAAGCCAGUAGUCAGGAGAACUGGUCCUCGUGACAAAGUCCUUCUUUUUAUGUGAUUUUUUUUCCCCCAGAGUUGAGGACCCAGGGCCUUGUGCUUGCUAGGCAAGCGUUCUACCACUGAGCUAAAUCCCCAACCCAUGACAAAGUCCUUCUCAAGGCCCCCAACCUCCCUGACUCUACCUCCUUUGCCUCUCUCUUUUCCACAGCCUCUACAGGGCUGAGUGGCCAAGGUUCUCAGAGAGCACAUGGCCCGCCGUGAUGCCAGGCCAGGAGCUCUCCUCAGUAUACUGUGGGUUUCUGGCACAGUGCUGAACAACAUCGCAACAUGUUCUAAAUAUCUGGGCUUGGUAAACAGAGGAGCGAACAAAUGAUCAGGGGCAGUCUGUGGCCAUUCACAUGCCACCACUUUCUGUCUCAUUAAAAUGCCAAUAGCCUCCUGA